UACGUAGGGUGCAAGCGUUAAUCGGAAUUACUGGGCGUAAAGCGUGCGCAGGCGGUUAUGUAAGACAGUUGUGAAAUCCCCGGGCUCAACCUGGGAAUUGCAUCUGUGACUGCAUAGCUAGAGUACGGUAGAGGGGGAUGGAAUUCCGCGUGUAGCAGUGAAAUGCGUAGAUAUGCGGAGGAACACCGAUGGCGAAGGCAAUCCCCUGGACCUGUACUGACGCUCAGGCACGAAAGCGUGGGGAGCAAACAGG
rnacentral:rRNA from 1 species